AUGGCAAAGCAGAGCAGCGCAGUACGGAGUAUAUAUACCUCUCACUGUCACAACAAUUCAGUCACUGAAGUGGUCUCAAUCAUGGCAAAGCAGACCAGUGCAUUACAGAGUAUAUAUACCUCUCACAGUUCAGUCACUAGAAGUGGACUCAUCAUGGCAAAGCAGAGCAGUGCAGUACAGAGUAUAUAUACCUCUCGCCAUCACAACAGUUCAGUCACUAGAAAUGGACUCAGCAUGGCAAAGCAGAGCAAUGCAGUACAGAGUAUAUAUACCUCUUGCCGUUACAACCAGAUAACGGUGGCCAGGUGCGCCUCCCUGACCCGGAUUAUAUGGGUGCCAUUGGAGGAGCUCGUGGUGUGUGUCAUCGGGUCACAGAUGAUCGAUCAAUGCUGCUGCUGCUGCUGCUGUUGCUGUUGCUGUUGCUGGUACACAUAG
rnacentral:rRNA from 1 species